AAGGGAGGUCAGAAGGCCAGUGAGGGAAGAUCAGCCAGGAGGGAAGGACGCUGAUGCGCUCACGCACUGCUCCGCAUCUCGUGUUUCCUGGUAUAAAUCUGCUACAGCUUGCCGCGGCCUUGCCUUGCCAGGGUGAAGAAGUUGUGCAUGUCAGCAGGCAGGGAUGGCACCAUCACGGCGGCGGCGUCCUUGCUGGCUUAAUUCCCGCCGUAGAAUCAUCCCCUCGACUCCGCCAGCUACACGAAUGUGUGAAUGGAAUCAUCUAGCGCGUCCUGUGUGGAACCGACAACCGUCUCUUCCGGUCAGCGGGGGUCACCUGUCUAGAAGAAAAAAUCGAUCGUCGAUCAUCUAGCGCGUCAUGCCUGUGUGAACCGCGAUGCAACCG